AGCGGAGCUUGGCAGCAUGUCGAAGCCAUGUGUGAGGAUCAGCGGGGCUUGGUAGCAGUUCUAAGCUGCGUCUAAAGAUUAGCGGGGCUUGGCAGCAUGUCUAAGCCGUGUGUGAGGAUUAGCGUGGCUUGGCAGCAGGUCUAAGUCGCGUGUGAGGAUUAGCAGGGCUUGGUAGCAGGUCUAAGCUGUGUGUGAAGAUUGGCAGGGCUUGGCACAAGGUCUAAU